AGGACGAACGCUGGCGGCGUGCCUAACACAUGCAAGUCGAACGAGAAUCUUAGGACGGAUUCCUUCGGGGAGAAGACUUAAGAGGAAAGUGGCGGACGGGCGAGUAACGCGUGAAUAACCUGCCCAUAAGAGGGGGAUAACACAGAGAAAUUUGUGCUAAUACCGCAUAUUGUUAUUGAAUCGCAUGAUUUAGUAAUGAAAGAUUUAUUGCGCACAGAUGGAUUCGCGUCCGAUUAGAUAGUUGGUGAGGUAACGGCCCACCAAGUCGACGAUCGGUAGCCGGACUGAGAGGUCGAACGGCCACAUUGGAACUGAGAAACGGUCCAGACUCCUACGGGAGGCAGCAGUGGGGAAUAUUGGGCAAUGGGCGAAAGCCUGACCCAGCGACGCCGCGUGAGGGAAGAAGGUCUUCGGAUUGUAAACCUUAGUCAACAGGGAAGAAGCAAGUGACGGUACCUGUGGAGGAAGCCACGGCUAACUACGUG
rnacentral:rRNA from 1 species